rnacentral:rRNA from 1 species
UGGGGAAUCUUGCACAAUGGGGGAAACCCUGAUGCAGCGACGCCGCGUGAACGAUGAAGCCCUUCGGGGUGUAAAGUUCUUUCGACAGGAACGAUAAUGACGGUACCUGGAGAAGAAGCUGCGGCUAACUACGUGCCAGCAGCCGCGGUAAUACGUAGGCAGCGAGCGUUGUUCGGAGUUACUGGGCGUAAAGAGUGCGUAGGCGGCGAGCCAAGUUUGGUGUGAAAUCUCCCGGCUUAACCGGGAGGGUGCGCCGAAAACUGGUUGGCUGGAGUAUGGGAGAGGAAAGCGGAAUUCCUGGUGUAGCGGUGAAAUGCGUAGAUAUCAGGAGGAACACCAGCGGUGUAGACAGCUUUCUGGACCAAAACUGACGCUGAGGCACGAAAGCGUGGGUA